CUCAGUGCGACCGCCGGGCCUGAGCCCCUCUGCGCAGCCUCGCUGGACGCGGCUACGCUGCCCCUGGUCCUCCCGCGGCGCCGGCCCUGGCCUGGGCGCCUGACCCCGACGGCCCUUCAGCUGGCAGAGGCCGCUUGGAGAGAAGGAUUGAGGGGUUGCACCUGCAAGCCGCCAGAAGCCGAAGAGGGCAGACCCUUCCCUGGAGCCUUCGGAGGGAGCAGAGGACAGACCCUUCUCUGGAACCUUCGGAGGGAGCAGGAUCCUAACACAUCUUGGUUUCAAACUUCUGUGAGAUAACAGGAUGCUACAUAUUACUAUGGGUGAUAAGGGUUGUUCCGAGGAGAACUUCAGCAGGAUUUGCUUUCAGAUGAGCCCUGGGGACAAGACAGGCUGCACCACUGAUCCUCUGAGGUUGCCCAGCCUACACCAUGCCUUGGAUGAGACACGUUUUAAAUAGCUGCUUGUGGAAAAUAAACUAGGCCCUGAGUACACACUCAUGGUCAAAUAAAGGCACUUUUUCUCCACUGAGCCUAGACACAGCCUCGGAAUCCUUCUCAACCCCUUGUUCCAAGCAGCCAUUCACAUUUAAACUAAUGUGGAAGGAGAGAUGAGACGUGUUUGCCCUUGGCUCUGGUCUUUUCUAUUAGCCUUCUUGCAAGACUUCAGGAAACUUAUCUGACUUCUCUAAUUCUGUUUCAUCCUCUGUAAAGGAGUCUUACAAUAGUGCACCCUACAUGUAUAUAGACUGUCCUCAUGUGUGAGGGCACGUGUGCAUAGGGAAAAUAAAGCACACCACACUGCUAAGAAAUAAUGCUAUACACCUGCCCUUCUGCAGCCUGUCACUACCAGGACCCAGUUAGAACUGGGACCCUAACAGCAGCAAAGGAAAAUCAAGGCCAGGAUUGAAUCUGAGUUCCCACUGGGACUCUAGCAAGUGUGCUGUUAACUAGUUUUGCAGUUAACACGUGACUCAUACUUUUAGCUGAAUAACAUUUUAAUAUGAAUCCCUGAACCUUUUAUUUAUUUCUUUGUCAUACUCUAAGUUCUGGGGUGCACGUGCAGAUCGUGCAUGUUUGUUACAUAGGUAUACAUGUGCCAUGGUAGAGUUUUGCUGCAUCCAUCACCCCAUCAUCUAAAUUAAGCAUUUCUCCUAAUGCUAUCCCUCCCCAAUCUCACCACCCCUUGCUGUUCCUCCCCUAGACCCCCGCUCCCCAGGCCCUGGUGUGUGAUGUUCCCCUCCCUGUGUCUGUGUGUUCUCACUAUUCAACACCCACUUAUGAGUGAGAAUAUGCAGUGUUUGAUUUUCUGUUCUUGUGUCAGUUUGCUGAGAAUGAUGGGUUCCAGUUUCACCCAUGUUCCUGCAAAGGACAUGAACUCAUCUUUUUUAUGGCUGCAUAGUAUUCCAUGGUGUAUAUGUGCCACAUUUUCUUUAUCCAGUCUAUCAUUGAUGGACAUUUGGGUUGGUUCCAGGUCUUUGCUAUUGUGAACAGUGCGGCAGUAAACGUGUGCAUGUGUCUUUAUAAUAGAAUGAUUUAUAAUCCUUUGGGUAUAUACUCAGUAAUAGGAUUGUUGGGUCAAAGAUAUUUCUAUUUCUAGAUCCUUGAGGAAUCUCCACACUGUCUUCCACGAUGGUGGAAUUAAUUUACACUCCCACCAACAGUGUAAAAACGAUCUUAUUUCUCACAUCCUCUCCAGCAUCUGUUGUCUCCUGAAUCCCUAAACUCUUAAGAAAAAGAGACUAGCCAGUCUUAGCAUCUCUGAUUCCCCACCCGAGGAAAGAAAGGCCAGUAUGGUAAUCCAAAGGCCUUUUAGGAGGGGCCCGUGGGAAUGGGGAGGCAGUGCAUGAAAGUACUGGCUUCUGGGGAGAUGUGGGGACUGGCUCUGGCCCCACUGGCAGGACUCAGUCCCAUUGCUGGCGCAGUGGUAAGGACUGUGUGAAGGGCUGUAGCUACUUCCAUGAUAAAGGCUGUGUCUGUCGGGGGGCUCCAGAAUCAGGAGCCAAAUAAGGGUCUCUAGAGCACAGACAGGCAAGAGGAAAAAACCACCACCUGACCAAGGACUGGCCUGCAAAAGACCAGGAUUCAAGGAUGUUGAAUCCUUGAAUUCAACUCAGGCUGUUGAAUGAGCAGAGCCCAAACCCAUACUCCCUACACUUGCGGUGCACAUUCCUCCUUUCGUCAUGGUAAUUUCAAAAAACUCCCAUUUUCAUCAAGAGCUCCGCACGCCUCUCCCCCUUGUCCAUUACAAUCUCAUCAUCACCUGCAUGUUCAUCCUACUGUUAAAGGAACACAGGAUGGCUCCAAAGCAGGAAGAUCACCGGGUGCACAGGACAUGGAGGCUCGGGGUACGGCCCAGCCCUGCCCCUCAUGGAGCAGCCACCUGACUUCUCCAUUCGAAGGAUGACAGCAUAGGACUAGCUGGCUGAGAUUCCUUCGAGGUCUCCCAUCUUCAGAUUAACAAAGCAUAACCCCUUUUUCUCCGGCACAGAUUCCUAUGAAGAACUUUUUAGAAAGAGGUUGGAAAACCACGAAAGGUUAUGCUCAAUGCCAGUCAGACUUCUUGAAGGAGCUCCUUGGAUUUCCUUUAGGAUCAGCCAGCUUUCUCGUGGGCACUGGGGACAAUGUGAAUUUGCAUAGUUUCCUUAAACAUCCAAAUGGAUACUUUUCAGGUUAAGCAAAUGAACACGACAUGUGAUUGCUUUUAAUGAUUUGCAACCCAAGAAAUUUGUUUAAUAAGCCUGUCUUCCCAAGCUACUUUUGUGACAUUAGAGACCAUUUACAACAAAGCUGUCUUCAGUAGUCAAACUUAAUCCUUACUACCCUACCUUUGGGAAAUGAAGGGAUUUUAUAACGAUCACAUAAAACCUUAUGUGGCUUGAAAGCCCCAAACUCCGGACAAAUGUGUGUUGGUCGUGUAACAGAAGAAAGAUGUUACAGAGCUCCCCACUGUAAGUGUUUUACAUAUGGUUUGCCUUUAGGAUAGCAUCUCUGGUGGACGGCUUUGCUGAUUAACACAAUUGAUUUUCUUAGCCCCAGUGUUCCUGUAAAUGUUAGAGCCAAGAGCUGGAGUCAGCUCCUUGGACCUGGGAGAGGCCAGGAGGCCAGAGGGCCUAGAGGACUCUGGAGGAAGAAGCCUGAAAUGGAAAGGUGGGGGCCAUCAGUCCUGGGGGGUAGGUGCCAGGUGCUUCUGAUUACACUCUUUGUGACACAGUUGUCAGCAUGGCAAAGGCAUCGUGGUGGGACUGCAGCAGGGAUGUAAUCCAGGAGUGGGCAGGAAGGAAGGGCUUCAGGCUUUGCCUCACACAGAUGGCAAGGGCAUGGUGCAGGGUGGAGAAAGGGUAUGGGGCUGCAACUAACAUGGGAGGGGAUCCUUAACUCUUGCAUUUUUCCAGAGAGGCAGAACACCCCCCUGCCAGGAGCCCCUGGGAGCUUCUGUUGAGAUCUGGAACCCUUCAGGCCCUUUUGUUUCAAGAAGGGCAGAAAGGGUAAUUCCUAAGGAAAUGAAGCAGAGGCAGCCCAAAGACUCCUGUUGGAAAGACUUUUCCUGAAACUUCCUUUGCUAGCGUGGGCGCAGGGCCUGGAGAUGGAUGUAUGGGACUUGUUGCAGGCCCCUGAGGGGCUUGUAGUUGAAUGGCUCACAGAUAAGGAAAUGGUUUGGUCUCUGGAGCAGUGAACCUCUACCCAGGAGAUGCACGGCGGUGGGGGGCAAUGGGAGUGCGAAGGAAGGCCCCUCCCUGCGUCGACACUCCCUACAGCAAGGCCUUUUCUUUUCUUUUUCUUUUUUUGUCGAGACAGAGUCUCUCUCUUGCCACCCAGGCUGGUGUGCAAUGGUGCUAUAUCAGCUCACUGCAACCUCUACCUCCCAGGUUCAAGUGAUUCUCCACCUCAGCCUUCCAAGUAGCUGGGAUUACAGGUGCUCACCACCAUGCUAGCUACAUUUUUUAUAUUUUUAGUAGAGACAGGGUUUCACCAUGUUGGCCAGGCUGAUCUUGAAUGCUUGAGUUCAGGUGAUCCACCAGCCUUGGCCUCCCAAAGUGCUAAGAUUACAGACGUGAGCACCCAUGCCUGCCCCAGCCAGCCCUUUUCAAGGGCCCCAGUGUGUAGUGGGUAGCCCAUUGUGGAAUUCAGAUCCAGUUGUCCAGUAAUCAGCAGACAAAGAGAUCAUUGCCAACUUUAUAUAGCUCUUCCCUCCAAAAUGUGCCAACGUUAGACAAUUGACUACCUGAAGAAUGUACAUAAUGUAUGUAAACAAGCAAAGUCCACUCUUCAGAUGUAUUUAUUUGGAUACGUUGGCUUGGACAACUACCUACACAAAUGGAAACACUUGGGAGGAUGUUUUCGCAGCCUGGGAGGGGCUGUUUGAGUGCCUGUGACUCAGGGCUGGCAUUUUGUUUGAUGUCGGCCCUUUUUAAACCAGCUCCUACACUCAUUACAAAGUGUUUUUGAUCCAUUUUCGGGAAGGGCUUUGUUUGUAACACAUGGUUGGCAGUUUGGGCAGAAUCUUUUAAGUGGUGUGAAGAGCUGGGGAGUGUGCACCUGGGUCGCUGGGAGGAAGUGCGUCUCCCCCCCUCCCCUGCCCCACUGGGAUGAACCAGAAGUGCCCGUGCUUUUGUGACUUGGAAAUUAAAGCAAGAGAUGUGGGGCUUUCGAUGCUGAGGUUGUGAUUUGCUGUCAUUUGCUUCUGAGUGGGAAACCACGAAUGAAGUUAAGACAGGAGAAAGAGCUACACCGAGGGUUCUGUCUCAGUCACCAAAAUACAAAUUUGGAAAGGAAAAGUGGCUGCAUUUCCUCCCAGGGUAACUGCUUCAAUCCAGCCUAGUGCAUUGAACCAUGGCUGUAAAGUAACAGGAGGCCAGUGUGGGAGAGUGAUCGUCACCUGAGCAGCAGAAUUGGUACUGGGGCUGGUGCCGGCGUCCCAUCAUUUCUUGGCCUGAUGUAACCGCAAUCAAUCUGGGAGUCAGGAAUGACGGACACUGUGGUCCUCAGAAUGACCCCUCCAUCUGUCUCAGCAGCAGCUCCUGGAAACGAGGGUCCCUCCCUUCUUGUCCAGGAACCCACAGGACAGGAAAAGGACAGAAUCUUCAUUCUUGGUGGGGUUGGGGAAAGUUUAUUCAUUCUUGGCUGGGGUAGGGAAAGUUGUGAAGCUGGGGGUGCUCAUUUCUCGAUGACAGCAGUGUCGGGCGGCCUUUGCAAGUGAAGGAGGCCCAGUCCCAAGCCGCCAAACCCAAAGGACCUUUAUGAGAGAGUGAACCACUACAGCCCAGGGAAAGAAAGGCAGGAGGACUCCAGGGCUCAGAGGCUGGGCUCGGCUCUCAUUCUCUGGGCCCUCACAGGACUUCCUCUUCUCAUCUUCCCCAGCUCCAGGCAGGCUUCACCCACCCAGCACCCAGAGUUACAUCCUUUCAGCUCUGUGCCCCCAGAGUUGAGAUACACAAUGGCAUUUGUGUAUUGAACCAUAUCUAAGCUCUCUCUCAGCUUCCCCCAAAAAUAAUCUUAGGGAAGGGCUCCAGUUGGCCUGCUAUGGAUGACUAGGACAGCUGUGGACCAAUCACAGUGGGCAGAGGCAUGAGGUUCCCUCCCAGCCAGUGGCAUGCACCUACCACAGCCUGGAGAACAGGUCUGACACAGGAAUGAAGAGGAAGGUGUGAGAAGGGCAGGAUCACCAUGAGGUUGUAAGCCACUAACUUUGUAUCCUCCCUGUUCACCGGAACAGCAUGCCUGCUCUGUGCCAAUCCCGUCCUGUGUGCUGAGCACUGCAUACUCAUGUGCUGUCUUCCAUUAAGUCUUCAUAACUCUUCAUCUACCAGUUGUGUGCAGGUUGGGUUGGAGAGGGCCUGGUGAGGAAGGGGCUGGGGGUGCUCUGCUUCCUACAGCCUCAUCUUCCCAAAGAAUAAAGGGGGUCUGGAUACUAAAUAAGUGCCCACUGGGUCUGACUCUGGACAGUGGAGCUUUCCAGGAAGCCUGUUGACAAGGGGAUACAUUUCAUGAAGCUGGACAGCAAGACAACCUGGUGCCAACCCAGGGCACUCUCUUAGCCUUGUCCCCACCCCAAGGCCAAGCAAAAGCAUUGGCAAGUCUGUGCCUUGGUUCUUUGUCUUAGGGGUUAAUCUUAAUUAGCACAUUUAUUGGAGAUUCAUUAAGAUACUAAAGAACUAGAAAGAUAGGACUUGUAGAAAUUAAUGAUAAUACAGUCGUGCAACACAUAACGACGUUUUGGUCAACAGCAGACUGCCUGUGUGAUGGCGAUGGCAUUAAGACUGUGAUGGAACUGAGACACUUUUGUUAAUUGUAUUUGGGCUCUGGGUGCAUGUGCACAUCUUGCAGGAUUGCUGCACAGGUACAUACAUGCCACGGUGGUUUGCUGUCUCCAUCCUUCCCCUCUCCCGCCACAUCCCCUACAUGGGGCAUUUCUCCUGGUGUUAUCCCUCUCUGCCCUCCCCGUGCCUCCCUGCUGUCCCUCCCCUCCCCUCCACCCCCCCCCCCCCACCUAGCCCAG